rnacentral:rRNA from 1 species
UGUGUAGGUGGUUGUAUUAGUCUUUUGUUAAAGACCGGGGCCCAACCCCGGGAGUGCGAAGGAAACGGUACAACUAGAGGAUAUGAGAGGUGUGCGGAACUCAUGGUGUAGGGGUGAAAUCCGUUGAUAUCAUGGGGAACACCAAAGGCGGAGGCAGCACACUGGCAUAUUCCUGACACUGAGACACGAAAGCGUGGGUAGCGAACG